rnacentral:lncRNA from 1 species
AAAAAGAGAAAAAUUGAUAAUUUAAAAUAUCAAUUAUAACUUUUUAAGUAAUUUCAUGAACAAAUACGUAUACAUAAUCGCAGAUAUAUAGAAACAUAUAAAAGCACGUGUAUAUAUUUAUACAUAUAUAUUUUUUUUAUAGUGCUACCAAAACUAUAACAAGCUAUUCUUAUCAGAAGAAAUCCAAGAGUACCAUUUUAUGUCUGUUGCCCUUUCGCAUUUUCCUUUUCUAUACAUUUGUUAUGAUGUUUUUAUAUAUCAAUAUGACAGUGUUUUUAUAAAAAAUUAUACCUACAAUGAUAAAUCUUUAAUAAUAUUAAAUUUUAUAAGAGGAAUAUUUUGUUCUUUAUCAAUUGCAAUAAUUUUUACAAUAUCCAUUGUAUUAAACAUACAAAAUACAUUUAGAACAUAUCCGUUACAGAAGUUGUUUGAUAGCAAAACAAAAAAAUAUCUUCUUUAUAUAUUUUUAUUUUACCUAAUCGACUCACAAAUAAGAGUAAUAACGUUUCUGUUUAUCAUAGAAACGUAUGACGUUAACCCUUUUAAAAUAUUCGUUUUUAUUUUCUCCCAGGUUGUGACAAUAUGCGUAUGUAUUGCCUUUGAUAUGCAUAUUUUUAAAAAUAUAAUUAUUGGUAUAUCAUCAAUUUUGGUUUCUCCUUUAUCUAUAAUAUUACAUUCAACAAAUAGGAAUUAUAGUAAUGAAAGAAUUGUAAGACUUAGCAAAUUAUUAAUAAAUUUUCGUUUCUUUGAAUUUUUUUUAAUACUUUUUUACGGUUCUUUGUAUUAUGAUGAUGAUGAACUUGAGAAUGUUUCCAUUCUAUAUGCUCAAUUAAUCAAUUUAAUAUUACUAUUCAUUCUUAUAAUAGUAUAUCAAAAAGUUAUAUCUUGUAAAAGAAAGUUUGAAGAAAACAUUGACGAGUUUAAUACAGACAUGUACAACAAUAUAAAUGACAGCUAAUUAUAUGCACUAAUAUUUAUGUGUACGUAUUCACAAAUAAAUAUAUUAUGUUUUUAAUUUUUUUUAACA